rnacentral:rRNA from 1 species
GACGAACGCUGGCGGCGUGCUUAACACAUGCAAGUCGAACGGAAAGGCCCUGCUUUUUUGGGUUGUUCGAUGGCCGACGGGGGGUGAAACACGCGAGUAUCCCCCCCUUGCCUUUGGGAUAACUCCAGGAAACUGGGGCUAUACCCGGUUAGGAUCUCUUGCUCCAUGGGGGGGGUUGGAAAGUUUCGGCGGUGGGGGAUGGACUCGCGGCUUAUAAGCUUGUUGGUGGGGUAGUGGCUUACCAAGGCUUUGACGGGUAGCCGGCCUGAGAGGGUGACCGGCCACAUUGGGACUGAGAGACGGCCCAGACUCCUACGGGAGGCAGCAGUGGGGAAUAUUGCACAAUGGGCGGAAGCCUGAUGCAGCAACGCCGCGUGCGGGAUGACGGCCUUCGGGUUGUAAACCGCUUUCGCCUGUGACGAAGCGUGAGUGACGGUAAUGGGUAAAGAAGCACCGGCUAACUACGUG